rnacentral:rRNA from 1 species
GGUGUAAAAUGGGCGUAAAGGACCCGUAGGCGGCCUCAACUUUAUUAAUGUAAAGCAGCAAUCAAAGAUUGUAGCAUUGAAUAAAGUGGGCUAGAGGAGAGUAGAGGAAAGCGGAAUACUCGAGCGACGGCUAAAAUCGGUAGACCUCGAGUGGAACCCCAGUUGCGAAGGCGGCUUUCUGGACUCUAGUUUUAGGCGCGAGAGCUCCUAGACACCUGACGCUGAGGGGUGAAGGCUGAGGUAGCGAAACGGAUUAGAUACCCGUGUAGUCC